CGCUUUACGAAAAGGUGAAAAAAGGUGAAAUUGAAUUUACAAGCUAAAUACCAUUUUUCAAUAAUCAACCCAGCAUAAUACUUUGAGUUUAUAUAAAUAGGAAGUAUAAAGUAUAUAAAGGUGCAUAUUCUAAUAUCAAUCAAAAGGGUCACAUCCUACCCAGACCAAAUCUGAUAUUAGAUCAACUUGCCCAUAAAUAUAGACCUUUCAAUACUUCAUUCAGUCUAUAGGAAAUAUUGUACAUAUUCUCCAAUACUAAUAUUUCAAAUAUUAUCUUAAAUAAAAUUAAGAUAUAUACAUUCAAUAAAAUGGCUAUGCCUAAUCACUUUAAAAAGCAUACUGCUUACUUUACAUACACAAAUAAACCAUGCCUUGGACCCUGGAUUGUUAAGAACAAUUUAUUUACUAUAUCCAAAGAAUGCACGAAUGCAAUCUGCCUUCAAAAAAAUUAUUUUUCUGUAUGAUGCUAAAGAAUUAUAAAGCUAUUCAAGAUGAUAUUCCUAUUCUCACCCAAGAAGCUGUUGUCAGUUAAAACAAUUAUGCAUUAAUUCCAUUUAUUCAAGAUGAUAUUCCUAUUCACACCCAAGAAGCUGUUGUCAGUAAAAAUAAUUAUGCAUCAAUUCCAUAUCAAUCACAAUUCAAUUUUCAAGAUUUAUUUUUUUUAAAAAAAUCAAUUUAUAAAUUAAUAAAAUCAAAAUAUAAUAAUGACUUUUUAUAUUCUAAUAAGUAUUUGUACAUUAAUGAUAAAUUAAUAUAUUAUAAAUGCCAUACAAAACAUUGUAAAGGGAGGAGGAUUUUAAAUACUCAUUUUAUAAUGACACAAAAGCAUAUUGAUCAUAAUGAUGAAGAUAUAAAUAAUACGCUCAUCACGAUCAAUAUGCUUAAAACAGAACUUAUGUUAAAUCAAAAUAUCAGUAUUAGAAAGACAUACAGAAAGGUUAUGAGAGACAGAAAACUCGAUCCUUUCUGUAUGCAAAACCCCAAAACGUUACCUACCUUUUUAUCAGUUAAAUCCAUUAUGGGACGUGUUAUUCAAUUAACACGACACCCCCUUCCCCUUUCAAAUGGUGAUAUUAUAUUAACCCAAGAGCACACAAAAUCACAUUUAAGUUUUUUUAAAACUACAAUGUCUACUUUUGCCAUAUAUUCUUUUUUCACGAUUUUUCCUCCGUCAUGUAAUUAUAUUAAUUGUUCAAUAAUUUUCAUGUUGUCAAUAAAAUAACAGCUAUUAGUCUAAGUAUUUAUAUUCUAGUCGGGUCAUACAGAAGUGGUAUACGCCAAUUACAAUAUUAUGGUCGUUCUUACAUUUAUAGCCUAAUUUUAUAUUGUAUUUAUCCACAAUUUUUGUGAUUUUUUAUUUAUUUAUUAACGUUUUGUAUUGCAUUUAUGCGCAUUUUUUAUCCAAUUAUUUUUUUCUGUAUUUAACGUUAUUCGUAUAUUUAUACUAAAUGAUACCCUUAUAAAUAAUGUAUUAUAAGAUUAUA